CGAUCUAUUACGACCAGCGCGGUUGUUCGUAUUUCAAUUUAUUCUUCCAAGCCUUACAUGCACUAAGUUACUUACUGAACCUAAUAAUCGAUCUAUUUAUUGAUGAUAUGUAUGUGAACAGCUCGUGACGCUGCAUGCGCGCCCGUUCAUCUCGUUGGGCGUCCCGCUCCUUUAUAGCUUCGAAACUAUCCUCGAGACGCUGCAGUCCCGCCUCUGCGAUUUUUAGGAGUUCUUCGUUCUUUUGAAGACGGAGACGGUUUUCUUGUCGGAGGCGCUCUAAGCGUUCCUGUGCUGUGCCUCCGACAAUACAUGCGAGUUAGGCUCGGACGCGGAAUCGGAAUCGGAGGGACCAGCCUCGGUUGAAGCCGCAGCCGCUGCUGCUAAAAGCGAAUAAUUCUCAGGCGCUGGUGGUGGAUUGAACCCACCAUUCAUGCCUCCCAACCCACCAUUCCCCCCCUCGGGUAGAACUGCGCUACCGCCCUGCUUAGGUCAUCCAUUAAUAGCAGGAAGAAAGAACAAGUAAGAUAACCAAUAAUAAUAAUAAAAAGUAGUUGGACGACCACAUAAAUCCAAAUUUUUCAAAUGGUAGUCGUCGAAUUAUUGGUAAUCUAAAGACGAAACCAUGGGAUAAAGACAAAUAAAGAUUAAACUUGAUAAGAAUAGUUAUAUAUCGGAAUGAAAAAGAGAGGUUAAUUUCUGUCCAUGAAUCAGUCUUUUUCGCCACAUCGCGUAUAACGGGAAUCGAACCCCUUGUAGUUCCUAUUUAAUUUUUAUUCCCUUACUAAUGAAACUCUCUUUCUUCGAUCAGAAUGCG